AGGAGGAGGACUGCAACAGGAGGGGUACUGCAGCAAUAUGCUUUUACGAUUCCCGAAAGACCACGGAGACCCUGCAGCCGGUCACCGAGUCUGCUCAACAUAUCACCUGUGUCCCUCUCCCACCCCUGGAAAAUAUAUACCGUGCCCGGCUGGGCUCAGGGUCAUGAGGGCACGGGCAGAAAGACUGAGGAACAGCUUCUUCCCCAGGGCUGUGAAGGCUCUACCGGAAGAACAACACAUACUUGC